rnacentral:lncRNA from 1 species
CCCAUGUCCCCUGCUGGUCCAUAUGCCCUGCUGUUCAGCCAGGAGUUGUGUGUGGUGUUGGCUGCUCCGCUUAAUGGUCGGGAAAGGAGGCAAUCAUGUCCCUUCCAUCUGCCGGCUGAGAGCCCGUGCAGAGGAAGCCCAUUAGCAGCCCCUGCUCGUGUGCCAGCCUCAAUUAGCCUAAGCGGGAGCAAAGGGCAGCACGGGAUUCCCAACCCUCAUAGAACAGCCAAGGAGCGGGUCACCGGAUGCCUCGUUAAAGUUGAAUUUCAGGAGGAAAAUGUUUGUGAGCCUAAGAAGAGGACCUGCCCCCUGAAAAACUGGGCUGGAGAUACCUGCUCCUUCUCCCCUGCCUGGUUCUCAUGGCCCCUUCCUGCUUCGGGUGGACCAUCAACUGCACAUGGCCCAGGGGCACCAGGGAGGAUGCGUUGGAAACGGGACAAGGGCACAGCGCCCACCUUCCCAUCCUGCCCGGAGGAACCCCGGCCGGCAGCUUGUGACAGAUGGCAGUGCUUUGAACGAAGACUUCAAUUUUAACUCUUUUCGAUAAUCCAGCACCCAAAAGCCACAUACUUUAAAACUGUCCCUGGAUCAUAGAUCAGCCCAAAGAGACCAAGUCCAGCUCAGUUAAUAACCUCUGGAAACACCAUCAAUCACUGGGAGAGCCUCUCCUUAGGGCUCUCCAUACCAACUCCUGGCAGAGAUGAAUGAAUGGGCCACUGUGCUUGGCAGUGGCUCUGCCUCUUGGGCUAUUUGCAUCUCACCUUCUUGCGCUAGAACUUGGACUUUUUGGAGCUGACCCCAGGGUGGAGACAGGAGUCAGGCCGCUGGGCAGGAGCAACUGAGUGACUGUCGCUUGGAGAGAGGAGGCUGAUGUCUCUCCCUGUCCUGCUCAAGGGAACCCCUCCCCUUCUUCCUGAUCUCUCGUGGCCUGGUGGUCUCUGUGGCCUCAGGUGGGCUGGCCACAACCCCAGAUGGCCUCAGCCUCUCCUGCGGGAGCCCCUCUAAGAGUCUGCCCCCUGGGGAGCCGUCACACAGGAGUCAUAUGGAGAACACAGUGUGCUUGAGCAAUACCUGCUUCUCGUUGGGUGGGAGCUGCCACCGGCCGACAGCCACGCUUUGGACAAUUUUGUUCCACAGAGGCUGGGCCCUGCCCUGGAAGCUGGCUGACCAGGGACUGCAUCCUCUCUGAUGGCGACACCCUGAGGCCUAUGAGUUCCUCCUUCUGCUGGCUCUCAUACCCAGCCCUGCUGCCUGCCACUUAAGUACCCUGCCCACACACCCAGCCUCCUAGUCUGUCACCUCCUGCUUCUCCCUUCAGUCCUCCCUGCACACCCUGCUAGAGGCCUCCCUGAAGCCUGAUCACAUCACUCCUGCACCUAAAUCCAAGUUUCCUGGCCUGGUGUUCAAUUCCAAACUAACUCUGCCAGGGACACUGUCCCUGUUAUUUACUCCUCAGCCCAAACUCUUGGCUCAGGCCCAAUGAAUCAUUCCUCCUUCACCCACCCCACCUUGUGCAUUUCAGCACAUGGUUACUCAUAACAUGCAUGAAGCCUCCUCUCUGUCCUCUCUCCACCUAUUAAAUUUCUACCCAUUCUGGGUUUGUUUUUUUUUUUUUUUUUGUAGACGGAGUCUCGCUCUGUCAUCAGGCUGGAGUGCAGUGGUGCGAUCUCAGCUCACUGCAACCUCCGCCUCCCGGGUUCAAGCGAUUCUCCUGUCUCAGCCUGCCGAGUAGCUGGGACUACAGGCAAGUGCCACCAUGCCCGACUAAUUUUUUGUAUUUUUAGUAGAGGUGCGGUUUCACCAUGUGGGCCAGGAUGGUCUCAAUCUCUUGACCUCAUGAUCCACCCACCUCAGCCUCCCAAAGUGCUGGGAUUACAGAUGUGAGCCACCGUGCCUGGCCUAAAAUCCUACCCAUUCUGUAAGUCCCAGUUGAAGUCUCACCUCCUCCAUGAAGUCCUCCUUGACCACUCCAGUCCCUACUUCUGGAACUAAUGGCAUGCACUGUCACUAAUAUAGCCCUAGGCACUGGGCAUUGGCAACUUUGUAUUGCUAGGUUCAUGCUUGACUUGGAAGCCCUGCCUUAUAUGUCUUUGAACCCUGCACAGACAUUCUUUUCUUUGUAUCUCCCACCCCAGACCUAUCUUCACAUGUCCAGGUAUUUCCCAGGCUUCAAAGCUGCCUCCUUUGGAAUCCAUGCUCUUGGGAGUGUGAUGGAACCAGAUGAACAGCUCAAGAGGCAGGAACCAUGCUGUCCUCUUCACUCCUGUGUUCUUAGUGCCUCACACCCAGCCUUUUGUUCAGAGAGCAGAUGAAAGUUACUGGCUGGAUUGGAUUGCUUUGGACUUCAUCUUCACCUCUUCAGUGGCAUGUGUUGCUUUCUGCCUUAUGUUAUAAAUGAUAUUCUCACACUCAUCCUAUAACCUACUCAACAUCUUGUUUCCCCAGCAACAUCUAUCAAGGUACCUUGCUGCAAAUGCCAAACACUUGGAUGAAAGCCUGGAUGAAGUCUCGUCCAGCUACCCUGGGAAGUGCUCUCUGGUCUAUGGUAACCUACAGGUGGAACUUGAGGUGUGAUGUGCCACCUGGGCUUGGUAAACAGCCCCUCCUUAUGUGUAUAUACCACAUUUUCUAUAUCCACACAUGCAGGUGGACAUUUAGACUGCUUCCUCAUCUUGGCUAUUGUGAAUAACAUUGCAGUGGAAUAUUACUCAGCCACAAAAAAGGAAGGCAAUCUUUUCACAUUCAACAAAAUAAAUGAACCUUGAGAUCAUUAUGCUGAGUGAAACAAACCAGUAACAGAAAGACAAAUACUUCAUGAUCUCACUUAUAUGAGGCAUCUAAAGCAGUUAAACCCACAGAAGCAGAAUGUGGAGUGGUGGUUACCAGGACCUGGGAGGAGGGGGAAAUGGAGAGUUACUAUUCAAGGAGAAUUGAUGUUCAUAGAGUCAGUCAUGCAAGAUGAGAGAGUUCCAGAGACGUAGAUCAUUGUGCUUAGUGUUAAUGAUAAUGUAUUGUACACAUAAAAUUUUGGCGAAGAGGGCAGAUUUCAUGUUAUGUGUGUUUUUCAUAAUAAAAUAGUUUCUAAAGGAAUUAAAACUAUAUAUAUUAAAACUAUCCCACACUAUACCCCUCUGGCCCCAGGAUUCUUCUUCCCUUAGUUCUUUCUGCCCAGAACCACCUGAAGACUGGCAGCUGAGUGUUCUGAAAAAAGCUCUAAGCUUGGGGGAGGGAGAUCCAGGUUUCUUGACUGUACUUCUUAUUGACUGUGUGAUGCGUGCAAAAUACUUAAACUCCUUUCUCCACGUUUCCUUAUCUUUGAAAAUGGAGCACAUAGAAAUACCAGUCUUGGCUACCUCGCAGAGUUUCUGGGAAAAUCUAAUGAGCUCAUGUUUGAGGAAGCGCCUUG